rnacentral:rRNA from 1 species
UACAGAGGUCUCAAGCGUUGUUCGGAUUCAUUGGGCGUAAAGGGUGCGUAGGUGGCGGGGUAAGUCUGGUGUGAAAUCUCGGGGCUCAACCCCGAAACGGCACUCGAAACUGCCCGGCUGGAGGGCCGGAGAGGAGAUCGGAAUUCACGGUGUAGCAGUGAAAUGCGUAGAGAUCGUGAGGAAGACCCGUGGCGAAGGCGGAUCUCUGGACGGCUAACUGACGCUGAGGCGCGAAGGCCAGGGGAGCAAACGGG